rnacentral:rRNA from 1 species
GAUGAACGCUGGCGGCGUGCUUAACACGUGCAAGUCGAACGGUGAAGCAGGAGCUUGCUCUUGUGGAUCAGUGGCGAACGGGUGAGUAACACGUGAGCAACCUGCCCCUGACUCUGGGAUAAGCGCUGGAACCGGCGUCUAAUACUGGAUAUGUGAUGUGACCGAAUGGUCUGCAUCUGGAAAGAAUUUCGGUUGGGGAUGGGCUCGCGGGCUAUCAGCUUGUUGGUGAGGUAAUGGCUCACCAGGGCGUCGACGGGUAGCCGGCCUGAGAGGGUGACCGGCCACACUGGGACUGAGACACGGCCCAGACUCCUACGGGAGGCAGCAGUGGGGAAUAUUGCACAAUGGGCGGAAGCCUGAUGCAGCAACGCCGCGUGAGGGAUGACGGCCUUCGGGUUGUAAACCUCUUUUAGCAGGGAAGAAGCGAAAGUGACGGUACCUGCAGAAAAAGCACCGGCUAACUACGUGCCAGCCGCCGCCGUAA